ensembl:lncRNA
AAUAGGGUGUUCUGUGUGGUUGCUAAGGUAUUCUGGGUAGUUGCUAGGGUGUUCUGAAUGGUUGAUUUGGUGGUUGUUAGGUGGUGGUUGCUAGGGCACUCUGGGUGGUUACUAGGUGGAUGCUAAAGUGUUCUGGAUGGUUGCUUGGCGGUUGUUAGGUAGUGGUUAAUAGGGUGUUCUGUGUGGUUGCUAAGGUGUUAUGGGUAGUUGCUAGGGUGUUCUGAAUGGUUGAUUUGGUGGUUGUUAGGUGGUGGUUGCUAGGGCACUCUGGGUGGUUACUAGGUGGAUGCUAAAGUGUUCUGGAUGGUUGCUUGGCGGUUGUUAGGUAGUGGUUAAUAGGGUGUUCUGUGUGGUUGCUAAGGUGUUAUGGGUAGUUGCUAGGGUGUUCUGAAUGGUUGAUUUGGUGGUUGUUAGGUGGUGGUUGCUAGGGCACUCUGGGUGGUUACUAGGUGGAUGCUGAGGUAUUCUGGAUGGUUGCUAUAGGUGGUUGCUAGGCCAUUCUGGGUGGUUGCUAGGGCACUAUAGGUGGCUGCUAGUUGGUUGCUUACUCAAAAGAAUAAAAAAAAAAAACAAGAAGAAUAAUUGAAGAAUUAAAAACUAAAAAUUUAAAAACUAUUAAACAAACACAAACUCAUGUGACUGGUUGAGUCAGAAGUCGACACGUUAGGUCACUAAAACAAACAGAUCAGUGAUUUAAAAACAUCACAGAUCCACUGUUUUGUAUUUUUUCAAAAAGUCAAAUGACCAAUGACUGACUUAAACGUUGAUGUUUCCCUCUAAAAAGAGAAAAUGCCGACCACUUUUGCCGACUGGCUGUUUCCCUCCAAAAGAUGGCGGCGCCUUUCUCCGUUUGCCAUCUGUUUGGCCGUUAGCUGCUCACAAACUCUGUCUAAUUGCAUUUGCAUAUCCUUGAUUUAGCUGGAGGGGGAGGGGAUAGCAGCUAAUCGCUCGUGAACGAGCAUGCAAAUCUCUCGGCGGGAGAAACAAUCCAUUCAAAGAGGCAUUUUGAGCUGUCAGCACAUUUGAGACGUUGUUGCUCUCGCUGCCAUAUGGAAAGUGAAGCGGGAGGCCCCUCUUAUGCAAAUCCCUCACUGUAGAGACCAAUGGGAGGGAGGCAGACAGAAACGCGACUGGCUAAUAAGUGGAUGGAGCGUAAUUAGUACGUUUGCUCAGCGAGUGGCACCAAAACCCCCAAUAUUAGUGAGCUUUAGAAAUCAUUUACAAUGGCUGUUGUGAUUGCAAUUAUCAUGAUCCAGAAGCAAAAACAUCUAGAGGAGCAUGUUAUCACUUCAUAGUUCAGGACGUUUUAAUGAAGGUUUCAGUUGUGUUUCACUGAAGUAUCCAGAUGUUUCUCCUUAAAAAAAAACAUAAAAAUAGACACAAAUGGGUCAAUAGUUGUUAUACAGUAAGAAGCGUGGGAUGCACACUUAAUCACACACACACACACACACACACACACACACACACACACAAAACAGAAAUCCAGAUUAUCAAAUGGCAGAUAUAGCGAUUUAUUAAAUAAAUUAAAAAAUAUAUUGAAUAAAUAUGUGCUGCAGAUUUAAGAGUAAUUUCACAGCUGUACCAUAAAAUAAAAAUAUUAUUACAUAUUAUCAUUUUUAAGCACUA